GAUGAACGCUGGCGGCGUGCCUAAUACAUGCAAGUCGAGCGAACAGACGAGGAGCUUGCUCCUCUGACGUUAGCGGCGGACGGGUGAGUAACACGUGGAUAACCUACCUAUAAGACUGGGAUAACUUCGGGAAACCGGAGCUAAUACCGGAUAAUAUAUUGAACCGCAUGGUUCAAUAGUGAAAGACGGUUUUGCUGUCACUUAUAGAUGGAUCCGCGCCGCAUUAGCUAGUUGGUAAGGUAACGGCUUACCAAGGCGACGAUGCGUAGCCGACCUGAGAGGGUGAUCGGCCACACUGGAACUGAGACACGGUCCAGACUCCUACGGGAGGCAGCAGUAGGGAAUCUUCCGCAAAGGGCGAAAGCCUGACGGAGCAACGCCGCGUGAGUGAUGAAGGUCUUCGGAUCGUAAAACUCUGUUAUUAGGGAAGAACAAAUGUGUACGUAACUAUGCACGUCUUGACGGUACCUAAUCAGAAAGCCACGGCUAACUACGCG
rnacentral:rRNA from 1 species